rfam:Picea glauca, whole genome shotgun sequence.
AUGUACAUUCCUACAACGUUAAUGCAUUGAAUCCCAUCAUAACUGUGUAGCUAAGCACACUUGGGAUAGAGUAGUACUAGGAUGGGUGACCUCUUGGGAAGUCCUAUUGUUUUACAUU